rnacentral:rRNA from 1 species
UCAAGUGACUAAGUGUACGAGGCGGAUGCCUUGGCGAUCACAGGCGAUGAAGGACGUAGAAGCUUGCGAAAAGCUGCGGGGAGCCGGCAAACGGGCAUCGAUCCGCAGAUAUCCGAAUGGGGGAACCCACCUGGAAACAGGUAUCGUCCCGCGAGGGACGAGGCGAACGGAGUGAACUGAAACAUCUAAGUAACUCUAGGAAAAGAAAUCAACCGAGAUCUCGAAAGUAGCGGCGAGCGAAAUCGAGCCAGCCGUUUACACGUAACUCAAUGCAUAGACGAAAGGCGUGGGAAAGCCUGCCACAGAGGGUGAUAGCCCCGUAGUUGAAAUGCAAUGAGCGGAACUAAGGUAAACAAGAAGUAGGGCGGGACACGUGGUAUCCUGUCCGAAGAUGGGGGGACCAUCCUCCAAGGCUAAAUACUCGUGAUCGACCGAUAGUGAACCAGUACUGUGAAGGAAAGGCGAAAAGAACCCCGGGAGGGGAGUGAAAUAGAACCUGAAACCGCAUACAUACAAACAGUAGGAGCCCGCAAGGGUGACUGCGUACCUUUUGCAUAAUGGGUCAGCGACUUACGUUUUGUGGCGAGCCUAACCGAGUAGGGGAGGCGAAGCGAAAGCGAGUCCGAACAGGGCGCCUAGUCGCAAGGCGUAGACCCGAAACCAGAUGAGCUAACCAUGGCCAGGUUGAAGGUGUGGUAACACACGCUGGAGGACCGAACGAACCGGUGUUGCAAAACCGGUCGAUGAGCUGUGGUUAGGGGUGAAAGGCUUAACAAAUCUGGAGAUAGCUGGUUCUCCCCGAAAACUAUUGAGGUAGUGCCUCGUGUAUGGCUCCAGGGGGUAGAGCACUGUUAUGGCUAGGGGGACAUGGCGUCUUACCAAACCAUGGCAAACUCCGAAUACUGGCAAGUUGAAUCACGGGAGACAGAGCACCGGGUGCUAACGUCCGGACUCAAAAGGGAAACAACCCAGACCGCCGUUUAAGGUCCCUAAUAACAGCUAAGUGGAAAACGAAGUGUGAAGGCUAAGACAGUCAGGAAGUUGGCUUAGAAGCAGCCAUCCUUCAAAGAAAGCGUAAUAGCUCACUGAUCGAGUCCUCAUGCGCGGAAGAUGUAACGGGGCUAAGUUAAUAACCGAAAGCGCGGAUUUCGCAGCGAUGCGAAGUGGUAGGGGAGCGUUCUGUAAGCCUGCGAAGGUGACUUGAGAAGGUUGCUGGAGGUAUCAGAAGUGCGAAUGCUGACAUGAGUAACGAUAAAGCGGGUGAAAAGCCCGCUCGCCGCAAACCCAAGGUUUCCUGCUCUACGUUCAUCGGAGCAGGGUGAGUCGGCCCCUAAGGCCAGGCUGAGAAGCGUAGUCGAUGGGAAUCAGGUUAAUAAUCCUGAACCGCAUCAGAAUGCGAUGGGGGGACGGAGUUUGGAAGGUCAUCCGGGUGUUGGACAUCCCGGUUUGUGAGAGUAGGAGGUUCGCAGGCAAAUCCGCGGACAGAUCUCCGAGUCAAAGCAUCGAGUUUUCGUCAGAAAGCGAAGUGAUUGGAAGAACUUCCAGGAAAAGCCUCUAAGCUUCAGUUUUGAUGUGACCGUACCGUAAACCGACACAGGUGGGUGAGUUGAAUAUACUAAGGCGCUUGAGAGAACUCGGGAGAAGGAACUCGGCAAAUUGACACCGUAACUUCGGAAGAAGGUGUGCCCGUGUAACGAGGCAAGGGGAAACCCCUUGAGCGUGAAAGGGUCUCAGAGAAAUGGUGGCUGCGACUGUUUAUCAAAAACACAGCACUCUGCAAAGACGAAAGUCGACGUAUAGGGUGUGAUGCCUGCCCGGUGCUGGAAGAUUAAGUGAUGAGCUGCAAGGUUCUGAUCGAAGUCCCAGUAAACGGCGGCCGUAACUAUAACGGUCCUAAGGUAGCGAAAUUCCUUGUC